rnacentral:rRNA from 1 species
CAGCCGCCGCGGGAAUACAGAGGGUGCAAGCGUUAAUCGGAUUUACUGGGCGUAAAGGGCGCGUAGGUGGUUAUUUAAGUGAGAUGUGAAAGCCCCGGGCUUAACCUGGGAACUGCAUCUUAUACUGGGUAACUGGAGUGCAGUAGAGGGUAGUGGAAUUUCCGGUGUAGCGGUGAAAUGCGUAGAUAUCGGAAGGAACACCAGUGGCGAAGGCGGCUACCUGGACUGAGACUGACACUGAGGCGCGAGAGCGUGGGGAGCAAACAGGAUUAGAUACCCCAGUAGUCCCUGUCUCUUAUAC